rnacentral:rRNA from 1 species
GUGAGGAAUAUUGGUCAAUGGGUGAGAGCCUGAACCAGCCAAGUCGCGUGAAGGAAGACGGCCCUACGGGUUGUAAACUUCUUUUGCAAUGGAAUAAAAAGAGUUACGUGUAAUUCAUUGUAUGUACAUUGCGAAUAAGGAUCGGCUAACUCCGUGCCAGCAGCCGCGGUAAUACGGAGGAUCCGAGCGUUAUCCGGAUUUAUUGGGUUUAAAGGGUGCGUAGGCGGAUUGGAAAGUCAGCGGUGAAAGUUUGCAGCUUAACUGUAAAAUUGCCAUUGAAACUGUCAGUCUUGAGUGCAAAUGAGGUAGGCGGAAUGUGUUGUGUAGCGGUGAAAUGCAUAGAUAUAACACAGAACACCAAUUGCGAAGGCAGCUUACUGGGAUGCAACUGACGCUGAGGCACGAAAGCGUGGGGAUCAAACAGGAUUAGAAACCCGGGUAGUCC